GACGAACGCUGGCGGCGUGCUUAACACAUGCAAGUCGAACGGAAAGGCCCUGCUUUUGUGGGGUGCUCGAGUGGCGAACGGGUGAGUAACACGUGAGUAACCUGCCCUUGACUUUGGGAUAACUUCAGGAAACUGGGGCUAAUACCGGAUAGGAGCUCCUGCUGCAUGGUGGGGGUUGGAAAGUUUCGGCGGUUGGGGAUGGACUCGCGGCUUAUCAGCUUGUUGGUGGGGUAGUGGCUUACCAAGGCUUUGACGGGUAGCCGGCCUGAGAGGGUGACCGGCCACAUUGGGACUGAGAUUCGGCCCAGACUCCUACGGGAGGCAGCAGUGGGGAAUAUUGCACAAUGGGCGGAAGCCUGAUGCAGCAACGCCGCGUGCGGGAUGAAGGCCUUCGGGUUGUAAACCGCUUUCGCCUGUGACGAAGCGUGAGUGACGGUAAUGGGUAAAGAAGCACCGGCUAACUACGUG
rnacentral:rRNA from 1 species